rnacentral:lncRNA from 1 species
UGAAACAAAGAUACUCAAGCAGACCCAUCUUAAUUAUCCAACAUUUCUGUAAUUAGCUUGUCUUUUAAGGCUUCUUCUACUUCCGAAAGUGCCUCUUUUUUUGCAAGGAGUCUUUCAAGCAGAUUCAUCUUGGCCAGACUCUCUUUCACUGCCACACGUAACACAUCAAGCCACACAUAAACAGAACAAGAACAUUCUUCUUAAACUACUAAAACAGAACAGGAAACAUAAAUAUGAAACAAAGACACUCAAGCAGACCCAUCUUAAUUAUCCAACAUUUCUGUAAUUAGCUUGUCCUUUAAGGCUUCUUCUACUUCCGAAAGUGCCUUUUUUUUUGCAAGGAGUCUUUCAAGCAGAUUCAUCUUGGUCAGUCUCUCUUUCACUGCCAAGUCCUUCUCUUUGAUUGACCACAUUCUCUGAAACUCAUCGACACCCUUUCCAUCCACUAUAGGUCUCCUACCACUUGCUUUUUUCGCUGCCUUAACACCAAGUGGCCGUUUGGUUGGUUCAUCUUCUACAUUGAUAGU